rnacentral:lncRNA from 1 species
GAAUGCUUCCUGCCUCAGAUGUUUCCUUCAUCAUAUGCAGACAUGGCUCAAUGUUCUUUGCUAGGCUGCUGAGUCAGAAGCCUGGACCAGCCAGCUUCGGUUUUGAUGAAGUAGCUUAGGAAGGAAGUGUUGGGAGAGAUGGGUGCACAAUGCAGUCAGUGGGUGAGCUCAUGCUGCUCUGAAGACCCAAGCCCUGUGAGAGGAGCCGGUUUCCUGGAAAAGAGCACUGGGCUGGAAGUCAGGAAGCUAGAGCUAGUCUCAGCUCUGCCACCAAUCUGCUGCAAGACCUUGGUAAGUCAUUCCCUUUCUC